ACAUGCAGUUGAGCGCUGAGGUUGGUACUUGUACCACUGGAUGAGCAGCGACGGGUGAGUAACGCGUGGGGAAUCUGCCUUUGAGCGGGGGACACAUUUGGAACGAAUGCUAAUACCGCAUAAAACUUUAAACACAAGUUUUAGUUUGAAAGAUGCAUUGCAUCACUCAAGAUGAUCCCGCGUUGUAUUAGCUAGUUGGUGAGGUAAGCUCACCACGGCGAUGAUACAUAGCCGACCUGAGAAGGGUGAUCGCACAAUUGGGACUGAAGACACGGCCCAAAAUCCUACAGGAGGCAGCAGUAGGGAAUCUUCGCAAUGACGAAGAUCUGACCGAGCACGCCCCGUGAGUGAAGAAGGUUUCCGGAUCUAAACUCCGUUGGUAGAGAAAGAACAUCUGGUGAGAGUGGAAGCUCCUCACGUGACGUGAACUACCCGAAAGGGACGGUAACA
rnacentral:rRNA from 1 species